ACCAACAUGAGCAAGUCAUAUUAGAUUAAUUGAUCUAAUUGGUGUCUAGGAAAGCAUGAAAGGUAGUUACUUAAUUAGGACCUUACUCUCUGAGUAAGGGAAGCCUCCCACCUGCUUACCUGGCCAAUUGUUCAAUUACCUCUUAUGAAGAGCUCAAAGUUGCAAACACUAAGACCUGAUUAACCGAUAUUAAGUCCAUAGAUCUUCCACCGUAGUAGAGCUGCUAAAGUCUUUCUGAUGUUGAUUUGUCUCGGCUGGACAUAGUGGGCAAGUUGCAUCGGGGGACUGGACCUCUCUAUAGACAUGAGAUGUUGUAGGGUAAAGGUGGGGUUGGGUACCAAUAACUGUUAGGUGAGGACCCAAUGA
rnacentral:lncRNA from 1 species